rnacentral:rRNA from 1 species
AGCAGUGGGGAAUAUUGGACAAUGGGCGAAAGCCUGAUCCAGCAAUGCCGCGUGAGUGAAGAAGGCCUUAGGGUUGUAAAGCUCUUUUACCCGGGAUGAUAAUGACAGUAUCGGGAGAAUAAGCUCCGGCUAAAUCCGUGCCAGCAGCCGCGGUAAUACGGAGGGGGCUAGCGUUGUUUGGAAUUACUGGGCGUAAAGCGCACGUAGGCGGCUUUUCAAGUCAGGGGUGAAAUCCCGGGGCUCAACCCCGGAACUGCCCUUGAAACUAGGAAGCUUGAAUAUUGGAGAGGCGAGUGGAAUUCCGAGUGUAGAGGUGAAAUUCGUAGAUAUUCGGAAGAACACCAGUGGCGAAGGC